CAGGACAGGUAUAGCACAGGCAGCGACGGUGCGAGCUUUCCUCACACCACCCGGUCGAUGUCCAUGUGCCUCAACCCUGACCUGGAGGGACCACCUCUAG
rnacentral:sRNA from 1 species